rnacentral:rRNA from 1 species
UGAUCCUGCCAGUAGUCAUAUGCUUGUUUCAAAGAUUAAGCCAUGCAAGUCUAAGUAUAAGCGAUUUUAUACAGCGAAACUGCGAAUAGCUCAUUACAACAGUUAUAAUUUACACGAUGAUCAUUAUUAAAUGGAUAACCAUGGUAAUUCUGGAGCUAAUACAUGCUAAACCUGAAAAGGGCGCAUUCAUUAGUACCUAGAACCAUCGGCCUCACGGCCUUACAAUGGUGAUCAUAAUGACGGAGCGGAUCGCAUUUAUGCGACAGUUCGUUCAAGUUUCUGACCUAUCAGCUCCCGUCGGUAGGGUAUUGGCCUACCGAGGCUGUGACGGGUAACGGGGAAUUAGGGUUCGAUUCCGGAGAGGGAGCCUGAGAAACGGCUACCACAUCUAAGGAUGGCAGCAGGCGCGCAAAUUACCCAAUCUCGACACGAGGAGGUAGUAACCAGAAAUAGCAACGUAGGGUUAAAACUCUGCGAUUGCAAUGAGUUGAAAGCAAAACUGUUUGCGAGUAUCUAUUGGAGGGCAAGUCUGGUGCCAGCAGCCGCGGUAAUUCCAGCUCCAAUAGCGUAUAUUAAAAUUGCUGCAGUUAAAGCGUCCGUAGUUGAAUUUCGUCUUGCUGAUAGGGACGUUUGUGCACUUCUGUGUAGCAGAACACCCUUAGGCAGGACUUGAACGGAAUUAUUUUUAUAAUGGUUUCGUUCAGUUACUUUGAGCAAAUUGGAGUGCUCCAACCAGGCUAUAGCUUGAACAGCUCAGCAUGGAAUAACAAGACAGGGCUUCGGUUCUCCUUGUUGGUGAUAUGGACCGAGAGUAAUGGUUGAUAAGGACAUACGGGGGCAUUUGUACUUGCUGGAGAGAGGUGAAAUUCUAAGACCCAGCAAAGACAAACAAGUGCGAAAGCAUUUGCCCAGUGUGUGCCUGUUAAUCAAGGACGAAAGUUGGGGGAUCGAAGACGAUUAGAUACCGUCGUAGUCCCAACUAUAAACUAUGCCGACUGAGGAUCGGUGGCCGUAAAUUACGACUCCUUCGGCACUCCAAGAGAAAUCUAAGUCUCUGGGCCCUGGGGGGAGUAUGGUCGCAAGGCUGAAACUUAAAGGAAUUGACGGAAGGGCACCACCAGGAGUGGAGCCUGCGGCUUAAUUUGACUCAACGCGGGGAACCUCACCAGGCCCGGACAUAAAUAUGAUUGACAGAUUGAGAGUUCUUUCUCGAUUCUAUGGGUGGUGGUGCAUGGCCGUUCUUAGUCGGUGAGGUGACUUGUCUGGUUAAUUCCGAUAACGGACGAGACCUCGACCUGCUAAAUAGGGGCGUUGUACAUUUAUGUAUGGCGCUUCCUUCUUAGAGGGACUUUGUGAGUUUAUCACAAGGAAGUUCGAGCCUAUAACAGGUCUGUGAUGCCCUUAGAAGGCCUGGGCUGCACGUGCGCUACAAUGACAGAGGCAGCGAGCAUUAACCUUCUCCGUUCGGAGUGGGCAAUCUUGUAAACUCUGUCGUGAUAGGGAUUGACCUUUGCAAUUAUAGGUCAUGAACGAGGAAUUCCUAGUAAGGACAAGUCAUCACCUUGUGCUGAUUACGUCCCUGCCCUUUGUACACACCGCCCGUCGCUUCAACCGAUUGGAUGAUCCGGCAAACUAUUCGGACUUUCACUCCGCUGAGAUAUUCUCUCACUCUGAGAAAGGAAGUAUCGUGAGCCUUAUCAUCUAGAGGAUGAAGAAGUCGUAACACGGUAUCCGUAGGUGAACCUGCGGAUG